UACGAAGGGGGCUAGCGUUGUUCGGAAUUACUGGGCGUAAGCGCGCGCAGGCGGUCUUCCAAGUCAGUGGUGAAAGCCCGGAGCUCAACUCCGGAAUUGCCAUUGAAACUGUGAGACUGGAGUACGAGAGAGGUGAGUGGAAUUCCCAGUGUAGAGGUGAAAUUCGUAGAUAUUGGGAAGAACACCGGUGGCGAAGGCGGCUCACUGGCUCGUACGUGACGCUCAGGCGCGACAGCGUGGGGAUCAAACAGG
rnacentral:rRNA from 1 species